rnacentral:rRNA from 1 species
GGUUAAGCGACUAAGCGUACACGGUGGAUGCCCUGGCAGUCAGAGGCGAUGAAGGACGUGCUAAUCUGCGAUAAGCGUCGGUAAGGUGAUAUGAACCGUUAUAACCGGCGAUUUCCGAAUGGGGAAACCCAGUGUGAUUCGUCACACUAUCGUUAACUGAAUACAUAGGUUAACGAAGCGAACCGGGGGAACUGAAACAUCUAAGUACCCCGAGGAAAAGAAAUCAACCGAGA